rnacentral:rRNA from 1 species
AACGAACGCUGGCGGCAUGCCUAACACAUGCAAGUCGAACGAGAUCUUCGGGUCUAGUGGCGCACGGGUGCGUAACGCGUGGGAAUCUGCCCUUUGGUUCGGAAUAACAGUUGGAAACGACUGCUAACACCGGAUGAUGACGAAAGUCCAAAGAUUUAUCGCCAGAGGAUGAGCCCGCGUAGGAUUAGCUGGUUGGUGUGGUAAAGGCGCACCAAGGCGACGAUCCUUAGCUGGUCUGAGAGGAUGAUCAGCCACACUGGGACUGAGACACGGCCCAGACUCCUACGGGAGGCAGCAGUGGGGAAUAUUGGACAAUGGGCGAAAGCCUGAUCCAGCAAUGCCGCGUGAGUGAUGAAGGCCUUAGGGUUGUAAAGCUCUUUUACCCGGGAUGAUAAUGACAGUACCGGGAGAAUAAGCUCCGGCUAACUCCGUGCCAGCCGCCGCGGUAA